ensembl:misc_RNA 7SK 7SK RNA
GAAUGUGAGGGUGAUCUGGCUAUGAUAUCUGUCCCCCGCUGAUGGCCAGGGUUGAUUAGGCUGAUCUGGCUGCCUAGGCAGGUGUCCCCUUCCUCCCUCACCACUCCAUGUGCGUCCCUCCUGAAGCUGCACUGUGGGUUGAAGGGAACAGUCUUCCCCAAUAGAAAAGGACUGUUCUUUCAUCCAAGAUAUCUGAGUGGCCAUGCUUCCCUGCUAGAACCUCCAAACAAGCUCCCAAGCUUGAGCCUCGAGGUUCCUCAGAAAGUAGAUGGUAGUUGGCACGAUGACGUGGCAGAGGGCUCUCAGGAAAGUAUAAAU